AUGACGUUGGGAAAGCGAGCGGCGGAUGGGUGAGUAACACGUGGGGAACCUGCCCCUAAGUCUGGGAUACCAUUUGGAAACAGGUGCUAAUACCGGAUAAUAAAGCAGAUCGCAUGAUCAGCUUUUGAAAGGCGGCGUAAGCUGUCGCUAAGGGAUGGCCCCGCGGUGCAUUAGCUAGUUGGUAAGGUAACGGCUUACCAAGGCGACGAUGCAUAGCCGAGUUGAGAGACUGAUCGGCCACAUUGGGACUGAGACACGGCCCAAACUCCUACGGGAGGCAGCAGUAGGGAAUCUUCCACAAUGGACGCAAGUCUGAUGGAGCAACGCCGCGUGAGUGAAGAAGGUUUUCGGAUCGUAAAGCUCUGUUGUUGGUGAAGAAGGAUAGAGGUAGUAACUGGCCUUUAUUUGACGGUAAUCAACCAGAAAGUCACGGCUAACUACGUGCCAGCAGCCGCGGUAAUACGUAGGUGGCAAGCGUCGUCCGGAUUUAUUGGGCGUAAAGCGAGCGCAGGCGGAAAAAUAAGUCUAAUGUGAAAGCCCUCGGCUUAACCGAGGAACUGCAUCGGAAACUGUUUUUCUUGAGUGCAGAAGAGGAGAGUGGAACUCCAUGUGUAGCGGUGGAAUGCGUAGAUAUAUGGAAGAACACCAGUGGCGAAGGCGGCUCUCUGGUCUGCAACUGACGCUGAGGCUCGAAAGCAUGGGUAGCGAACAGGAUUAGAUACCCUGGUA
rnacentral:rRNA from 1 species